rnacentral:rRNA from 1 species
CCAGCAGCUGCGGUAAUUCCAGCUCCAAUAGUGUAUAUUAAUGUUGUUGUGGUUAAAAAGCUCGUAGUUGGAUCUCGGCGAUGGAAGCCGGGCGGUCUGCAUUGCUGCAGCCACUGCUCUGGUUUCUUCGUAUUUUAUCGUUGGAGGGGGCCGGUGAUCUUGAUCGGUCGUCGGCCCUGGGUCAGCAGUUUUACUUUGAAAAAAUUAGGGUGCUCAAAGCAGGCUGUUGACAGCUUGAAUAUUCGUGCAUGGAAUAAUGGAAUAGGAGGCCGUUCCUAUUUUGUUGGUUAGAAGAGACGGCUUAAUGAUUAACGGGGACUGCUCGGGGGCAUUUGUAUUCAGGCGCUAGAGGUGAAAUUCUUGGACCGCCUGAAGACAAACUACUGCGAAAGCAUUUGCCAAGGAUGUUUCCA